rnacentral:tRNA from 1 species
GGCGGAGUAGCUCAGCUGGCUAGAGCAUCCGGUUCAUACCCGGCAGGUCGUAGGUUCAAAUCCUAUCUCCGCCACCA